rnacentral:rRNA from 1 species
CUGUNUGAAUGGCAUCACGAGGGCUUAACUGUCUCCCCUCCCCAGUCAAUGAAAUUGAUCUCCCCGUGCAGAAGCGGGGAUAAUACCAUAAGACGAGAAGACCCUAUGGAGCUUUAGACGUCAGAGCAGCCCAUGUAAAGCACCCCUUAACAAAGGAAAAAACCAAAUGAAGCCUGCCCUAAUGUCUUUGGUUGGGGCGACCGCGGGGAAAUAUAAAACCCCCAUGUGGAGUAGGAAUACACAUUCCUAAACCCAAGAGCUCCCGCUCUAAUGAACAGAAAUUCUGACCAAUAAGAUCCGGCACACGCCGAUCAACGGACCGAGUUACCCUAGGGAUAACAGCGCAAUCCCCUUAAAGAGCCCUUAUCGACAAGGGGGUUUACGACCUCGAUGUUGGAUCAGGACAUCCUAAUGGUGCAGCCGCUAUUAAGGGUUCGUUUG